rnacentral:rRNA from 2 species
GGGCGUGCUAAUCUGCGAUAAGCGCCGGUAAGGUGAUAUGAACCGUUAUAACCGGCGAUACCCGAAUGGGGAAACCCAGUGUGACUCGUCACACUAUCAUUAACUGAAUCCAUAGGUUAAUGAGGCGAACCGGGGGAACUGAAACAUCUAAGUACCCCGAGGAAAAGAAAUCAACCGAGAUUCCCCCAGUAGCGGCGAGCGAACGGGGAGGAGCCCAGAGCCUGAAUCAGCAUGUGUGUUAGUGGAAGCGUCUGGAAAGGCGCGCGAUACAGGGUGACAGCCCCGUACACAAAAGCGCAUGUGCUGUGAGCUCGAUGAGUAGGGCGGGACACGUGGUAUCCUGUCUGAAUAUGGGGGGACCAUCCUCCAAGGCUAAAUACUCCUGACUGACCGAUAGUGAACCAGUACCGUGAGGGAAAGGCGAAAAGAACCCCGGCGAGGGGAGUGAAAAAGAACCUGAAACCGUGUACGUACAAGCAGUGGGAGCACCCUUUGGGUGUGACUGCGUACCUUUUGUAUAAUGGGUCAGCGACUUAUAUUCUGUAGCAAGGUUAACCGAAUAGGGGAGCCGGAGGGAAACCGAGUCUUAAC